rnacentral:rRNA from 1 species
GACGAACGCUGGCGGCGUGCUUAACACAUGCAAGUCGAACGGUGAAGCGCCUUCCUUUUUGGUGGGUGUGGAUGAGUGGCGAACGGGUGAGUAACACGUGAGUAACCUGCCCCCUUCUUCUGGAUAACCGCAUGAAAGUGUGGCUAAUACGGGAUAUUCUGGGUCUGUCGCAUGAUGGGUCUGGGAAAGAUAUUGUUUCGGUGGGGGAUGGGCUCGCGGCCUAUCAGCUUGUUGGUGGGGUGAUGGCCUACCAAGGCGGUGACGUGUAGCCGGCCUGAGAGGGUGGACGGUCACACUGGGACUGAGACACGGCCCAGACUCCUACGGGAGGCAGCAGUGGGGAAUAGUGAACAAUGGGCGAAAGCCUGAUGCAGCGACGCCGCGGGAGGGAUGGAGGCCUUCGGGUUGUGAACCUCUUUCGCCAGUGAAGCAGGCCUGCCUCGUUUGUGGGUGGGUUGACGGUAGCUGGAUAAGAAGCGCCGGCUAACUACGUG